GCAAAAUCAAGAUCACGUGUCUAGCCUCGCAGGGCUUUGGCGUUCUCCGUGUUGGAGCUGAACGGCAGUGAAAGGUGCACUAUGGGCCGCCUGGACGGGAAAGUGAUUGUGUUAUCUGCCGCCGCGCAGGGGAUUGGACGUGCCGCAGCAAUCGCGUUUGCGAAGGAGGGCGCUCAGGUCACAGCGACGGACAUAAAUGGAGAGAAGCUGAAGGAGCUGGACGGCAUUCAAGGGAUCAAGACCAAAGUGGUGGAUGUGACGAAGAGGGACCAAGUGGAAGCUCUGGCUAAAGAGCAUGACCAUGUAGACGUGCUCUUCAACGUAGCUGGGUUUGUGCACCACGGCUCCAUCUUGGACUGUGAAGAGGCUGACUGGGACUUCUCAAUGGACGUGAACUUACGGAGCAUGUACCUCAUGUGCAAAGCUUUCCUGCCUAAGAUGCUGGCAAAGAAGUCAGGAAACAUUAUUAACAUGUCAUCUGUUGCAUCAAGCAUAAAAGGUGUUGUGAACCGGUGUGUCUACAGCACCUCCAAGGCUGCAGUGAUUGGACUCACCAAGUCUAUAGCGGCCGAUUUCAUUGAACAAGGCAUUCGCUGUAACUGUGUUUGUCCUGGUACUGUUGAUACUCCAUCCCUGAGGGGUCGGAUCCAGGCCCAACCUGACCAGAACAGGUAGACUGUGAUUUUUUACAUUUAUUUUCUCUAUGCUAAAUCAGACAGUUAGCAGGUGUUAUCUUGGUUUCCAGGAGAAGAAGCACUGAUCACUGGGUUGUACAACUUCUCUGCAGGCCUUCAAGGAUUUUAUGGCGAGACAGAAAACUGGCAGAAUGUGCACAGCUGAGGAGGUAGCAUACCUGUGUGUGUACCUGGCCUCAGACGAGUCAGCUUAUGUGACUGGGACGGAACAAAUCAUUGACGGAGGCUGGAGUCUGUGAGGAACUUGUGACAGAUGCAUUGUGACAGGAGUGAAAGCAGUUUCCCCCCCCCACC